CCUCCUGAUCCAGUCCUCUCCCACCCACCGCCGACCUCGCCGUCCUCCUCACCCACCACCGCCGACCUCGUCCCUCCCUCCCCUCUCCGCAUCUCCCGGCCACCUCUAGGCCCGAGGAGAUCGAGCGAGCGCCCGAGUGCGCCUGUCCUCGCAGCCUCCUCCCACUAUUCCCCGCGCCCGAGCCCCACGAGAGGAGCUCCUCCUGUGUUUUUGCACGCCGCCGCCGGCGACCACCAGCCACAGCUUGCCGGAGCCAGCAGAUGAGUGCCACCCUUCUUCUCUGUUCUCUUCUUCCCGUGCUCUCUUUCUUCCUCCUUUCUCUCUCUCACACAUCUCGAUUUCUCUCUCUGUCUCAAAAAGUGCACUUCGCCGCCAUGGACGCUCGUGUCCCAGACCUUGCAGCGCGCCACCCUGAUGCGAAGUCCCUCCUCGCCGUUCCUGCGCCGCUGAGCCGAAGCCUCGCCCAAGUCCAAGCGCCUCCGACGUUUGCCUCCUCGCCAUGGCCUCCCCUGCUUCGUCUGCUUCGCGGACAGAGCUCCGUCUCCGUCAACGUGUCCUCCCGCCGUCUUUGUUCGUUGUCGAGCUCAAUCGACUCCAGCAGCACCCCCAUGGUGUCGCUCCGCUCGGCACCCGAGCGUCUCUCCAGCUUGCAGUAGCACCACUCUUCUCAAGUGCGCCCACCAGCCAGGCCGUUCGUCUCCAGCUCUUCGCUCUGGCUCUGUAUUGCGUUGUUCAUUCAAUCAGGGAUCUAUUCCAAGGUCUCGGGUCCGCCCUCUCCAUGGAGAAAGGGGAUAUCUAUUCAUUUUGCGUAAGUGAUUAAUCAGCGAGCGUGCGUGCUGAAUAUGUUCUCCACUGUCAAGGAUUUAUUUAUUGUCUUGUUAACUUCUAGCUACCUGCUGCUUGCGUUGCAUUGCAUUGCAUUGUGUGUCAAGUGAUUAAUCAGCAUGCGUGCUGAAUAUGUUCUUCACUGUCUAGGAUUUCUGCUGUGUUUUUUUUACUUGUAAUAAAUACUGUUAAAGUAGCCAGCCACUAGGAUCUGAAGCGCUCAAGACCUGUGACAGUUUUGCUUGAUUUUCCUCUUCAUACUAGCUAGUUUCUGAAAGGAUCUUGAUUCAAAUACAUUACAAUAUGCUCAUUUUUUAUCUCCAAGCAGAGGCUCUAGUAAUGAAAUUUCUCUAGUAAUGUAAUAGGCGUGGGACUGUUCUGCAAACUAGCAUGUGUAGUGCAACACAUUAUUCAGUCACCACUUAUUUCCUGCACAUUAGUAGGGUAGCUGCAUAAUCUAUCUAUUUCUCUUUCCUUUAUGUAAAUAGUUGACAUGAUGCCAUAUUGCAGUAUUGCAAGUUAGGAGAAACAAGUUUCAAAUUGAUUUCUCCACCUGCUGCUUCCAUUCUUAUUAAUCAGUGUGCCAAUAAUGGCAUCUGUUUUGAGGCGACUCCAUCCCGUUCGUGAUAGUAAUUUGUUUAGAACCGCAAGGCAGCUUUGCUUUCUGCAGUAUCUCAUGCCUUGUUUUGUUCUGUCGACUGAGGCCUGAGGCAGAGCAAAGGCUUGCCGAUUAUUGCUUACAAUGCCAAGUUGCAAUUAGCUGGGAUGUGUAGCGUGGCUAGCUUGUGUUGAUUGGUUUUGAGAUAUAAUUGGAAACUGAUUGUGUGUCAGUACAACAAACGUGAUGAUUUUUUUGAAUAGAAAACAUGCUGAUGGAAGUGUCCUUCCAUACGUGAUUCUAAUUUGCACUUCUCGGUCAAAGGCAUCUCCAGUACGUGACACACUUUGGAUGUGCAAACGAAUAUGUGCGUGUUUCACAUAUUAUGUGAGAAAAUUUUGUUAGUUCUCGGCCAUUAUAAUUAGGAUCCACAGCUUGUUUGCCUCCCUUUGCUAGGCUGUUUGGGAACGUAUGUCAUAGAUAGGCGUAGUUUUCUUUUUUUUACAGGUACAUGGCCGUGUAGGAAUUGGACUCAACUCAUUGCUUUGCAUGGCAGUCUAGAAAUCAUAUGGGGUAUGGAGACAUCUAUACAUGGUUACUUUUUAAUAAUAUAAUAGAUUAGCUGUAAAUGUGCCCCCCUUACCGAAGAAGAUAAGAAUCCAUAUGUGUUAUGCAAAAUUAACUUUGUCAUCUUGUAAGCGCUCUAGGCAGUGUCUAGAGGGUGAAAAAUAUGAGAACAAAAAAGAAUUACUGGAUUAAUUUACAACAUCCAUCCUUUACUUCGUCCAUGUCAUUGUUGUUUACCCCUGGGAGUAUUUUUAACUUGAAAAUCUCUGGUGAACUGCCAUUUAAAGUACAUUUGCUUGCUCUGUUAAUUUUUUUGGGUUACUCCAUCUUGCUCUGUUAAGUAAAAUUAGAUAUGUGGGGUACCAGCAGUAAGCUAGACCCUCCAUCUUGCUCUGUACAUAGUCAAAGCUACUCCAAGUUAGCAGCAGUACUGUUAACUUCUCAAUUUGAUUGGAUUACAUUUAAAUUGUAGUACUCCAGUAAUUUUGCUUAGAUUAUUUAACAAGAUCGAACUGUAUUUGUGCGGAGUAAUUUUUCUUGGAGUAUUUAACAAGAUUGAACAAGAUUUAACUUUUCAACAUUUAACAGUACUUUUCAGUAAGUAUUCUGAACAUGCUUCUGAAUAUUUGCAGAUUCUGAACAUGCAAGCAAAUAUGCAGGAGUAAACAAGUUCUUGCAGUAGAUAUUGUAAGUGUUUGUUCUGAACAUGUACUGUCACCGAAGAUAUUGCAAGUGGUCUGACAAGAUUUUCUCAAUUUGCAAGUUUAGUUACUUUUCCAGUUAAUUAACUGGACAUCUUGGAGUAGUUAGAAAAUCAUGAAUUAUUUACAGAAAUUCGUAGAAGUAUUGUACUCCAAUGUGCAUUACUUACAUAAACUUGCUUGCAAGCUUAUUUUCUGACUUUCAUAUUCUGAAACUGAAAAACCUUAGUUAAAUUCUAUUAAAUUUCAGUAAUAUUCAGUGGAGUGGAGUGUUUACUGUAAAUUUUGAACAUCACAGUAAUUUCCCUUGCUGUUAACUGCUAUAGCAUUAGGAGUAGUUUUACUGCAGUACUUCUUGAACUACUCCAAGCAUUAGGAGUACUGUAAAGCGAGUAAAUGGAGGGCGAGGAAUUUUUACUGCAAUGUAGGAUUGCACAGGGAGUUGUUAGUAGUAGAUGUUGAUGAUCAUAGUCAGGAGAUGGAGGGUGACACACAGCCAUGGAGAGGAGCGGCAGCUCAAGAUAUUUUGAGUAAAUUCAAGACGAAAGAUGUUCAAAGAAGCUCUAAG